AACGAACGCUGGCGGCAUGCCUAACACAUGCAAGUCGAACGAGACCUUCGGGUCUAGGGGCGCACGGGUGCGUAACGCGGGGGAACCUGCCCUUAGGUUCGGAAUAACUCCCCGAAAGGGGUGCUAAUACCGGAUAAUGUCUUCGGACCAAAGAUUUAUCGCCUUUGGAUGGGCCCGGGUUGGAUUAGCUAGUUGGUAGGGUAAAAGCCUACCAAGGCGACGAUCCAUAGCUGGUCGGAGAGGAUGAUCAGCCACACUGGGACUGAGACACGGCCCAGACUCCUACGGGAGGCAGCAGUGGGGAAUAUUGGACAAUGGGCGAAAGCCUGAUCCAGCAAUGCCGCGUGAGUGAUGAAGGCCUUAGGGUUGUAAAGCUCUUUUACCCGGGAUGAUAAUGACAGUACCGGGAGAAUAAGCACCGGCUAACUCCGUG
rnacentral:rRNA from 1 species